rnacentral:rRNA from 1 species
AUAUGUCAGCGGCAGACGGGUGAGUAACGCGUGGGAACGUACCUUUUGGUUCGGAACAACACAGGGAAACUUGUGCUAAUACCGGAUAAGCCCUUACGGGGAAAGAUUUAUCGCCGAAAGAUCGGCCCGCGUCUGAUUAGCUAGUUGGUGAGGUAAUGGCUCACCAAGGCGACGAUCAGUAGCUGGUCUGAGAGGAUGAUCAGCCACAUUGGGACUGAGACACGGCCCAAACUCCUACGGGAGGCAGCAGUGGGGAAUAUUGGACAAUGGGCGCAAGCCUGAUCCAGCCAUGCCGCGUGAGUGAUGAAGGCCCUAGGGUUGUAAAGCUCUUUUGUGCGGGAAGAUAAUGACGGUACCGCAAGAAUAAGCCCCGGCUAACUU